rnacentral:rRNA from 1 species
AUACGGAGGGUGCAAGCGUUAUUCGGAAUCACUGGGCGUAAAGGACGCGUAGGCGGGUUGGCAAGUCAGAUGUGAAAUCCUACAGCUUAACUGUAGAACUGCAUUUGAAACUGCUAACCUAGAGUAUGGGAGAGGGAGAUGGAAUUAGUGGUGUAGGGGUAAAAUCCGUAGAUAUCACUAGGAAUACCGAAAGCGAAGGCGAUCUCCUGGAACAUAACUGACGCUAAGGCGUGAAAGCGUGGGGAGCAAACAGGAUUAGAUACCCGAGUAGUCC